rnacentral:rRNA from 1 species
CAGCCGCCGCGGGAAUACGUAGGGUGCAAGCGUUAAUCGGAAUUACUGGGCGUAAAGCGUGCGCAGGCGGUUAUAUAAGACAGAUGUGAAAUCCCCGGGCUUAACCUGGGAACUGCAUUUGUGACUGUAUAGCUAGAGUACGGCAGAGGGGGAUGGAAUUCCGCGUGUAGCAGUGAAAUGCGUAGAUAUGCGGAGGAACACCGAUGGCGAAGGCAAUCCCCUGGGCCUGUACUGACGCUCAUGCACGAAAGCGUGGGGAGCAAACAGGAUUAGAUACCCGGGUAGUCCCUGUCUCUUAUAC